rnacentral:rRNA from 1 species
AUUGAACGCUGGCGGCAGGCUUAACACAUGCAAGUCGAGCGAGAGGCGGACGGGUGAGUAAUGUCUGGGAAACUGCCUGAUGGAGGGGGAUAACCACAGGGAACUGUAGCUAAUACCGCAUACCAUCAGAUGUGCCCACAUGGGAUUAGCGAGUAGGUGGGGUAAUGGCUCACCUAGGCGACGAUCCCUAGCUGGUCUGAGAGGAUGACCAGCCACACUGGAACUGAGACACGGUCCAGACUCCUACGGGAGGCAGCAGUGGGGAAUAUUGCACAAUGGGCGCAAGCCUGAUGCAGCCAUGCCGCGUGUGUGAAGGAGGCCUUCGGGUUGUAAAGCACUUUCAGCGGGGAGGCGUUACUCGCAGAAGAAGCACCGGCUAACUCCGUGCCAGCAGCCGCGGUAAUAC